ACAGCAGUAGCCGCGGUAAUACGAAGGGGGCUAGCGUUGUUCGGAAUUACUGGGCGUAAAGCGCGCGUAGGCGGUUACUCAAGUCAGAGGUGAAAGCCCGGGGCUCAACCCCGGAACUGCCUUUGAAACUAGGUGACUAGAAUCUUGGAGAGGUCAGUGGAAUUCCGAGUGUAGAGGUGAAAUUCGUAGAUAUUCGGAAGAACACCAGUGGCGAAGGCGACUGACUGGACAAGUAUUGACGCUGAGGUGCGAAAGCGUGGGGAGCAAACAGGAUUAGAUACCCGUGUAGUCCCUGUCUCUUAUAC
rnacentral:rRNA from 1 species